GGGUGGGAGGUCCUAUAGGGGGCGCCGCGUUGGAACGCCCAAAGAGGUUGUGCUGAUGAGGUGGUUGAAAGCGGUUGGUGGGCGGGUAUAUGGCGGCUAGGCCUGGAAGGCCACGAGGACUGCUAGCGCCGUAGGGUCAGGCUUCCUCAUGCCACUGGUCACCGAGGCUUGGGGGAGAGAUGGGGUCCCAGGGGCCAACCCUUGGGCGCAUUGAUGGCGGCAGGCUAACCUGGCCAACAGGGUGCCGCUGCCGGGCGAGGCGAGGAGCAAGAAGAUUUCCAGGGCUGGGAGGUAGAGGGCCAGGACCCCGAGGAAAGGGCUUCUGCGAGGAGCAACCCAGGAUGGAUAAGGAGUUGAGGCCCCAGGGAUGCUGAGCCUGCACAAGUGGAAGUGACUGGCUACCAGACUCUGAAAAACCUAAGUGUUUUAGGUGAGUGGAGCUAAGAGCUGAAACAUCAGCAUGGGGUCAGGGACCCCAGAAGUGUGGCCAAAUGUUUGAAGAGUUGACCCACCUGAAAGGCAACCGGUGGUCAGGCCACAGGGACCUGAGGAAUUCAGUAUGGUCAACAGAGAACUUGGCUACGUUGCACUUCUCUACGAGGCAACCAGUGUGUCCCCCCACCAGCAGUGCCUGAGGAUUUGUCUCCCAUCCCAGAGGGUGGUGCUAGCACCACUGUCUUCCUUCCGGUAGAGCAAACAGUAAGACCUGUAGCAUCCCCAGACCCUCUGAGUUAGGAGAGGAGAGGGCUUGGAGCUGUUUUCCUGCUCUGAUUGUGGGGUUGGGUUUCUGAGGCCCAUGACCUUGGCUUCGUCUAUAUUUUCUCUAGCCUGUCAAGAAAAGAAUUUGAACUUCAGUGAAAUAUAUCUCAGAAAUUUGCCACAAGGAGAGGGCUAGGGGAAACCUAACUAAAAGAUGUUAGAAAAGAGAGGCCAAGCGUAUCCUAGGUUCUGUGUCCAGUUUCUUUUAGUUGUUCAUGAAGGUGACUGAUCUGUUUUAGAAAUAACCUAGUUCAGCCGGGUGCGAUUGUGCCACUAUACUUGAGUGAGACUCUGUAAAAAGAAAAUGGAGGGAGGGAGGGAGGGAAGUUCAAACUGCCAUUGGUGAACUCUUAAGGUGCUCUGAUUACAAGGCAUGUAUUUCUCCUUCUCAUUAUUUGACUGUUUUAAACCCAAAUCUACUUUUCUAAUCCAGGAUCUAGACAGUUUAAGUAGGGAAAGGCCUCAAUUUAAAGAAUGCUUCCUCCAGCCUUUGAGGUUCACGUCUCUGUUCCCCUUGGCCUCCCCGCCCCCCUCCCAACUUGUUGUGGGCACAGAUGAGUUGGUCAUGGUGGAUAACUAGGGUUUCCCUAAAAUUUGUCAACCAGCCAGGACAUUUUUAAGCAUGAAAGGCAGUGCCAACCAGGGGGAUGCUGGGAUGACAGGCAGAGCAGGCUGUCUGGGCCCCCCCAGUCCUUCCAUCAUGACAGCAUCAGUGUUGUUAAUAGUAGUAUGGACAACAUUGCAAAAAACUGUACACGCUCAGUAACAUAACUAUAAAAAUAAUUAGUAUUAAUGUUAUAUUAUUAUUAGCACUUUUCAAAGAGAAGUAACCUCCCUUCUCCCACUAUUUUUAAAUAGACUUCAGUGAGCUGAAAGUUCUGCCAUUGAGAGCACUUAUUCAGUUGGGUGAACUAUUUGCAUGAAGGUGACAUUUGCUCAUCUGUCUUUCUUGCUGAAGUCAUCGUCUAAAGGUAAGCAAAAGAGCAAGCUCAGGAAAAAGAAAAUGAUGCACUCUCAGAGACCUUUUCCUGGGGCUGCUGAUUGGGAGACACGAGGCCUGUGGCCACCAGUUGUCAGUGGCUUUCUGUAGCAGCAGCAGCAGUAGCAGCAGCAGCAGGGACUCUGGGCUUCCACGCUCCUUUCUCACCCAUGUGGGGAGCAACACAGUCUCUUCUAGCAGGGAUGGGAUGCCCCGCAGCUCUGGGCCCUGAAGAGAGUAGAGGUCCAUUCAGACUGGGGGCUGCUGGCCUAGGGUUAUGAGUGGCUUUUGUUGGCAGAGACUACAGUUAAAACCAUCUAAGUAUGAAAGUACCUUAGAAAUUAGAACAAAAAUUACAGUCCCUUAGGAGUAUCGAGGUCGUUUUCGCUCAGACUUCAAUUGUUUUCACAUAGCCUGAACAGUUUUUGCCAUAUGCCUGUACUGAAACUGCACUUGACAGUUUUCUCUACGUCAGCUAUUUCUUCAUGUCAAAACAUUUGUUGUUAAAGGAAAAUUAUACAACUGCUAUUGAAAGAUUACCAGUGUCCCUGGAUUCUGGUUAAGUAUUUUAAAAAUGCACAUGAAGCCAAGUGCCUGCUCUGAAAAAUGGCAUUGUGGCCCAUGUCCCUCCAGGUGCGGCCCUGACCACCUCCUUGAUCCUGUCCCCAUCUACCCAGUCUCUUCACUGACCUGAGAAACAUUUGUCUGGACUCUAGGAGAUGGUAUGAGAGGUGGUCUUAUAUGACACAAAUAUUUCCCACCUUGGGGACUAAUGAGGUUUUGCUGCCAGUAUCUACUCAGGUGCUUCUUAGCUGAGGAGUGGUAGGAAGAGUUCUCAUUCCAACCAGCGGAAGCCUGUUGAGUUUCAACAGGGCUAAAUUACUUGGGGCACAUUUUCUUCCCAUGACAUUUGUUGUCUAAUAAUAAGUCAACAGAUGGGGUUGUCUCAGUCUGCCUUUACUAUGACAUUUGCUCCCACUUCACAUGUUUAUGUUUGCAGAUGCAGCCAGGAAACAGUCCAUAGAGCUGUGUAUUAAACCCCAGCGAGAUGAGCCCAGCCACUUUUCACUUCCUGCUGGCACACUCUGAAGUGGUGUUCCAGCCAGAAGGCCUCUCACAGAAGCCACUCGCUCACCUUUGUUCUCACUCCCAGCUUUUCUGCAGAUUGGGUGGGGGGAGCUGGGUCUGUUCUCCCAUUGUGCUCUCUGUUGUUGAUGAGAUGCCAGAAAGUACAAUGCUCUCAUCAAGUUCAAAAGUAGGCAAAGCCAGGUAAUGCAUACAUGAUAAAAUGUUUACGGCGAGCAUAUGAUAAAACCCAGCUUCUGUAUUUGGUUCCUUCUGGUGGGGAAGACCGCAGGAGUAGGAGAAGGACAUACUGGUAGAUGAAGUUCCUGGCUGUGUUCUUUCUUGGGUUGGGCUGAAAGGUUCACAGGGGUUGCUGACAGUAUUUUCAAAUACUAGGUUUAAAGUAUAUAUUUGGACUGCCGCCGUGGGUCAAUGGUAUGGGACAGCUGAAACCAGUCCAGGGCAUUUGGGGAAUGGUAGACCUACUGUGCUGUGGCAAGAGGAGGUUGUGAGGCUGAGCUGUUGGGACCAGUGUGGUGGGACUUUGCUCGCCCUUCUUCUUUCUAUACAAACUAAGAACCCUCCGAAGAGUUCUUAGCACAUACUAGGCCCUCAGUAAAUAUUUGCUGAACAAUUUUUCACAUGUGUAUUUUUAAACUUGUUGUUUUGGAAAUUUUCAAGCACACCAAGGCAGAGAGGAGGCCAGCAAGCCCUGGAGCGCAGCUGCGCUGCCCAUCAGCUUCUGCUUCUCUGGUUUCCUCUGUCACCCCCACCUUUUGUUCUGGAGGCUUCACAGCAAAUCCCAGAAAUCGUAGUGUUUCACCCCUGGCAGUUUUGGACAGUAGAGUAGGUUCUUCUCUUCUUUCUUUAUGGGGUCUUUUGGGAUAUGUUGAAGGUGACUUCUUCCUCCCCAAAGAGAGCAUGUCAGGAAAACGAAGCCUCCUGUCUGUAUCUCCCUGUGAGGGGUUCCUCAUUGCACAGGUGUGUCCUUGGCUGUGCAUUUGUGCUGGGCAUUGUGCUGGACCCACGCAUCAGUGAUGAGAGAGGAAGCCUCUGGCCUGGGGCCUCCGUGCUAGUGUAGACUGAUGACACGGUCAGGGGAGCAGACUCUUGCUCCUGUGAGCACUAGGAGUGUUCUACUGUGACCACCCAUCUUUUGAACCCCCUUUCACCACUCCCGAGUUGAUCAUUGGUGAUUUCCCCCAUUGCCAAGGCAGAGUGGACAUUUUCAGCAGACAGUACCCAAGGGGACUGCAGCCCUGCCCCUUCUGAUGGAAGGUACAUUGGGAACAUGCAGAGCACACAUCAGGGUGAUGUCAGUUGUCCCCAUCCACAUGGAAAGACCUGGCCCCAGCCAGCUGCUGGGCCUCUUUGCACUGUAUUAAUAGCAAGGCCAUGGGGCCCACUGGGGUCGGGAGACAGGGAGAGGACAGCUGUGAUGGACAUCACCCCAUGCUCCAGGCAUGUGCUUCCGUCACAGGCGGGCACAGAUGGCUGCACCUUGGCCUGCCGCUCCAAAGCCCCCCAAACCUUGCCAGCCUUCUUGUAGGGGCAGGAAUUGGCUUGCACUGAUGACCCAUUUGACAAAGGAGCUAAAUUACAAAUGGCAUGAUUGGAAUAGAGGGUUCCAGUGGCCCCGUGUUCAGGGUCAGUUUAUGCUUUUAUUGGAUACACAGGCAUGGGGGCUGAAUGAGGCAGUGGUAUUUAAACAGCUGGGGGUAUUGGGUUCUAUAUGCCAAGGCUAGACAGAGAGUUUUAAAUGUCACAGGCCAAAUGGAAGCUCAGUUGGCAGCAGGACGGAGUGGCAGGGGGAUUUGGAGGCCACUGCCUCGCUGUGGCUAGAUAUGGCCAGGAGAGCCGAGUGGGAUUAGGGCCUGGGAAGAAGCCCAGCAUGUGGAGUGCUGGUGAAGAGGUAGCAGGAAGGGUCAUAUGAGUGAGCACCAGGCGCCAGGGAUGGCGGGCAGGAGCACAGGUGCUGGGGCCAGUGGCAGGCAGAACUGUAUGAAAGCACCAAGGACAGGGCCAGAGGGGAGAGGUCAGAGCCCAGCCCUAGCUCAGGGGGACAGGUAGGAGCAGAGCCUGUGGUUCAGGGCCCUAUUCUGGCAUCAGAGAGAUGUGAGUGCUAACCUCAGCACCCCACUUUCCAUCCCGGGGCCAAGGCAGUUUCCUGACUUCAGGGAAGGGGCCAGGAGAGGAUUAAGUAAGAACAAGCAGCACGUGACACUCAGAAAGGUGAUCGCUGCUAUUAUUAAUAGUAAAAAUUCAUUGGUGACCAGCCGCCAUUGUGGAAUGGAGCCGGAAGCUGCUCUCCAGGCCUGCUCCCACCCAGAGACGCUUUCAGCCACAUAGGAGUUCCUUUAAGGAUGAAUGAUGACAACCACCAACGGCUGGGUAUCAGCAGAUUUUACAGAAACUUUUGGCCAUUUGACUUUUCCUGGCCUCAUGGAGCCUCUAGUUUUCUGGGUCCUGCCUCUUCAUGUCGGUAGACAACCAUAGCUCGGGGAUGGCUGCCCCCUGUUGGCCAGCAACGCAUGCACCCGGCGCCUGCCACCACCUGUGCCUGUCACUUAUUUAUCUCUGAGUGGGGCCUGGCCUCCCUAGGCAUUCGCACUUGCUCGCUCCCUGCAGUACAGUGGAGCUAUUAUUAUCUUACAAGAAACAAGGGUCAUCAUCAGAACUGGGCAGGGGCCCAGCAACGACGUUCUGGCUGGCGCCUCCUUGCCUUUGCCGUGACACUGGUCUGGGAGACUUGGCUGAUGGAUGAGCAUUGAGUGGCCAGGUCUGGGGAGGGGACGGCAAAGGAAGGCGGGCAGUGAGCUUCCACCAGAGGCUAGGCCGGGGCUGUGGAUCCAGCAUGGCUACCUGCUUUCCUCUUGGUGGGCCCCUAAGUAACCUGAACAGAGCACCACAGGGCUAGGGCAGUUACCAUGGCAACAUAACAUCUGUGCGUCCCUGGGCCUUCCUCAUUUUUGUUGAGGUGAGGAUGGCUUAGGAAAGCUGGAGGAGGCCCAGGCUGGUCUUAACCCUGGGUCUUGCUUUUCAGCACAAGGGAUUCAAGGGAGGAAGGGAGUUUCUGUUGGGGCUUUUGUGGGCCUCAGGCCCCUGUGUUCAUCCCUAUUUGUAUUCAGAACUCCCUCCUUUUCCUUAGUGGUUCAGAGUUUCUCUUGCUCAUCCAGGCCUCAGAGAAGAAUCCAUGGUAGCUGUGACCAUGGUAGUUGUGACCAUAGCUAGGCCUUAAUUCCUUCAGGGCCAUCUACAUGAAGGCUUAGAACAUCCCCUCAUCUUCUGAAGAAGUGCAAGUCUCCUCCUGUGGGCUUCCAGGGAACACUAGCGUUAACCUGUGCUCACAUGGCCUGCCCUACGCUCAGGCUUCUUGGCACAGAGAAUCCCUUUCUCUUACUGAUUUGUGGUGCAUACCCUGUUCUAGGCAUUAGAGGAAUGCAUUAAUUUUUGUACUCUUCAUAGCAACCUCAUGGGGAAGCUGAGGCACACCCAGGUCAAAUAGCUUGCUUGGGCAGGAAAGUUAUGGAGUCUGGAUUUGAACUCCAGUGGUUGGUCAGGCUCCAGAGGUCCUUUCAAACCCCUGCCCUCAAAUGCUGCCUGGAAAAUGAUGAGGCUGAUGGAGGGGCCUGAGGUGAUGCUCUAAUGAGUCAGGAGCCCAUCAAGUCACAGGAGCUGGGGAAAGAGCACACUGGACAGAGGGGACAGCCUGUGGAAAGUCCCUGAGGUGUGAAAGAGCGGGCCAUGAGCUGUAGGGAAGCAGGAAACCAGUCUGGCUGCAGGAAGUGAGCAGGGGCCAGGGAAGAAGGUGGGUGGCCGAGGAGACUGCAGGGCAGCCCAUGGCUGUGGCACUGAGGUCUGAUUCCAAGUGUAGUGGGAAGCCCUGAGGCCUCUGAGCAGGGCCCUGACAGCCUGAAGGUCUCCCCAACUAGAAGAUGGAAUUCUUGUGGUAAGAGGAGGGCAGGGAGAGCAGGAGCUGAGCUGAGCUGCCCCACAUUAGGUAGCUGGGUUCUGUUCACUGAAGGGGGUCUAAUAUAGUUUGGCUCUGUGUCCCCACCGAGAUCUCACCUGGAAUUGUAACUCAAAAUUCACACGUGUCUUGGGAGAACCCAGUGGGAGGUGAUUAAAGUAUGGGAGCGGGGUCUUUCUUGUGCUAUUCUCAUGAUAGUGAAUCUCACGAGAUCUGAUGAUUUUAAAAAACAGGAGUUUGCCUGCACAAGCUCCCUCUCUUUGCCUGCUGCUGUCCAUGUAAGAUGUGACUUGCUCCUCCUUGCCUUCCACCAUGAUUGUGAGCCACCCCCAGCCACAUGGAACUUUAAGUCCAAUUAAACCUCUUUCUUUUGUAAGUUGCCCAGUUUCAGGUAUGUUUUUAUCAGCAGUGUGAAAAUAAACCAAUACAGGGUCCAUCUGGGAGAGGCUGCCUUUCUCUGAGGCCUCUUGCUUGGCAGUGUAGAGAAGGUUUGCUGGUGCUUCUGGAAUUUUCCUUGGCCCUUUGGGACUCAGCCUGUAGUCAGAGCUGGUUCCCUAGACCGUAGAUGGGGCACCCUUGGAGAGCUUCCUGGGGUGGGUGUCAAGGUGCUGUGUGUGGCUCUGGAGAUUUGGCCUCUGGUGCCUCCCUCCCCUCGUCAACCUGGUGCUUCUGAAGGGCUCAGCUCAGCCUCAUCUUGGCAGCUAAGCCAGGAGGCAGGGCCUUGUGGGUUUCAUGUUUUUAUUUCUUGAUAGGUGAGGAAAUGAGCUCACCUGUGUGGCUCAGUGGUCAGUGCCCAAGGCUGCAUCUCCAGUUCCAUGACGAAAACACCAGGUCAGGUGCAUGAGUGGCUGGCGCUCACUGUGGCAACGCCAUGAAGGCAUCUCUUUGCCAUUUUUGGUGCCCCCACUGGAGCAGGCAUCUGAAUUCUGGUGAUUGAGAACCUAGGGGCUCUGGUGGGACACAGAGUGUCCAAAUUCCUCUCCACUGGAUGGCACAGCUGCAGUGAUCGUACUGACCAGCAUUCGUUCGACCCUUUCCCCAAGAAGGUCGCCUGCGGUGGGGAUGUGAGGACCCCUUUGUCUUGGGCACCUGUUGGACCUGAGGCUGGGUCUCAGCUGUUCUACCUCACACUGAGGUUGUGGUCACCUGUGUGGGCCUGGGUUGUUUUUGUCUAUGACAAAGGUUGGGACCAGAGGUAGGUGGGUUCACCUGCUCUACCAUUUCACGAUGGGCUGGGUCGCAUGCUCACUUGCCUGGUUUCUGCUUGGGUUCCCGUUCCUUGCCCUGGCCCUGCAGGGUCCAUGGAGUACCACAGCCCUACCUCCUUCCUCCUGCCAACCAGAGGACUGCAAAACAGGCUUCUCUAAGCCUGGCUCCUUGCACUCUGUUCUUGAGGGCCCUGAAGAAGUUGAAUCUGGGUAAGAUGGCUUGUCUCAGAUCACACACAAAGGCCCUGGAGAUUAGGACUCCACAUCCAUUUCAUUGAAAUCUGCUCUCCCCCAUCAGAAAAAGAGCCACGUUUUCAAAACUAUAACUGCCUUUCUCUUAAAUCAACAAUAAACAAUAGGCUAAAAUUUGCCCAUAAAAGUAAGUUUCUCUGAUGGCCGUUCUGGGCAUUGGAAGCAAGACAUCAAGCUGAAGUGUGACCGAGGGGAUCACGCCGCGGGUGAGUGUGUGUGCCUGGUUUUGUUUCUGUUAUUAAUCCUUUGCCCUGUUUUUCUCUUUCUUUUUAUCCCAAACCUGUCUGUUUCCAAGGGUCCCUGGAGCCUUCUGCAGCUGUGCCUCUCCAUCAUUAGUGCCAUGUUCCUGGUUUGAAAACCAUGGUACUUCAGCCUCUUCUAGAUGGGAGUUAAACUUUGCCCUCUGAAGGAAAGGUUUGAUAAGCAAAGAGUGUUUGGUAAACAAGAUCCUUGUGGAGGUAAGAGCAGGUCUCUGAGUCCACCGGGACCCGGCUGCUCUACAGGUUUCUGUAUCACAUUUUCCGCACAUGUCCAUUCGAGCUGGAGUUGGGCGUGUCUAGUUUUGAAUGCACCCUCUUCAGAUGCACCUGCCACUCAGAGCCUACUGUAGAGUCACCACUGGGCUUCUUUAGAAAUGGCUCGAUUCAUUCUUGGUAGUAACCCUACUACCCACAGGCACCUAAAAUCAGAGGACUUUUGGUAGCUGGUUACCACCAAACCUCCUCAGACAAUACAUAGGAGACUCCAAACCAGUUGCUAUUUAAAAAAAAAAAGGCAGCAGAGCAGUCAUGGAGCAGACCCUUCUUACUGCUGCAUAUGAGACGAUCCCAUGGAAUGCAGGAAGCCACAGGUUUAUUCACGUGUGCUCUGUGGUUAGAUUUCUAGCCUUCCUCUUCCUGAGGAGGUCCCUAGAGAGAGCAAGUCUGAGGCCUCACCAUUGUUCCUUCACUGGCAGCACUCAAGAGUAAUCCUCAAAGACCUCCCCCUCCAGCCCUAGCUGGGUUCCUAACUUUCCAGCUAUUUCAUAUCUGCUUUGUGAAUGUUUCCAGGCAGAGUGGCCAGACUGACUUGCACUGACAGUUCUCAUCAGCCAGUCCCAUCCUCCUAGAGAAAUCCGGAAUCAGCCACAUGAACCCGACGCUAGAGGCCCGUCAGCACUGGAGGACACGAGAGAAGCAGCUCAGGUCUUCAGCAGAAACAGGAUGGUUCUCCCAGUGGUUGAUCUCCACUGUGAGGAACUGGCCUGCCGCUUUGCUGGGGAGUGAGCUGCCAGCUUCUCUUUGAUGUGCUGCGUUUGUUGAGAACCAGGCAGGGGUGCUUCACCAUGGCAUCACUUGAAUUAGGCAAUGGUUCAUGGACUCUUCUCUGGGGGCCCCACACGAAACAUCAUUAGCACAGACCUGCCACUCAGAUCAAGGUAGCCAGAAGAGCCAUCAGAGAAUAGCCUUCAGAAGAAGAAUGGCAAGGCCAGACGGCAGCGCAUGAGGCCAGGGCAGAGCCACGGUGAACUGUCGAUGGCGUCCUGAGCCUGCUGCCAAGGCCGCCUAGGAGCUGAGACAGAGAUGGAGUGGCUGGGAGGCGAGUUUGAUGUGCAUGUUUGGGUAGAGGGCCUUGGCUGAGCACCGCAUGAGCCUUUGUGCAGAGAGGGCCCGUGUCCAUGGAUCUGGGGUCCACCAUGGGCCACUGAGAUGGGGCAGGGCUAGGAGGGUGAAGGAGGGGAGAUUCUGAGUAACAUUGUGAAAUUGGGCCCAACUUUGCAUGGAAGGUGAGAGAAAGGACCCUUCCGGAGGGCCCCCCCUCAAUCCUGUUGUGCCUGAUUCAGAGGGUUGGGUGGAGGCUCUCCCGAAGGGCUCUAGAGAACACCGCACCCACAGCCAUGCUGAGAGUGGGGAGGGCAGUCGAUGUAAGAGGGGCCUGUCAUGUCACCUGCCAAGUUCCCUGGGGUGGCCGGGGGCUGGGGAGUGGUAACCUCGCUGUGCCACUCCUCUGCCACAGUCUCCCAUGGGUCCCCACUGCUGGCAUUGUCACCCACCCCCCAGCCUCAGCAGCAAGCACCUACAGGAUGCAGUGCCACCCCCCCCACCUGCGUCCCCGUUCUCCUCCCUGAGGCUCCCUUCACCCUCACUGCCCCCUCCUUGGGAAGGCCUCCCCUCCUUCCUCCACCUCACAGCAUGCAGGGCCUGGGGCUUCUGCUGGGGGCACUCAUCUGUUGCCCACCCCAGCCAGGGCAAGGCCAUAGCUGCCUUGUGGAUUGUUCUGUUGCCCAGCUUGUUUCCACAUGUGGUAUCCAGCAGGUGCCUAAUAAACUUGUGUAAAAAGAGUGGUGGAUGUUUGCUCUUUUAUUUAUUCUAAAUAGAGCCCAGCUCUGCCUGCUAUAGUCCUUGAAGCAAGUGCAUUGUCUGACAGUCUUGGGUUGCUUCUGACCCAUGGUGGCUGCCUGGGGGUCCUGCUGGAAACGUGGCACCCCCCACUCCUGCGUGGAACCGGUUGUCCCCACUGUGAUUCCUCUCGCUGCAGAUGGCCCCGCCUCAUGGCAUCAACACAGUGGGGAGUUCCGGGCUCACCGUGCUGGCGCCUGCCUUCCUCCCCCGCCACCAGACUAGACCACAAAGGGCAGGACUUUAUCACACACUCAGGACAGAGCAGGUCUCGGGUUCUUGCAGGAUGGACCAAUGGAUAGGUGGGUGGACAGAGCAAAAAGAUGAAAAGACAAGAAAACGGGGGUUUGACAGGCAGGGUGGCCUGACCCUCCCUGUGUGGACAAGGCUUGGUGGGAGACAUUGGGCAUGGCUAGGAGGACUUGGGGUUCAAGGUGUCCCCACAGUCCUGAGCACAGAAGCAAGGGUGAGCCUCCUUCCUGCUAGAACUGGCAGAGUUUCCAAAAUGAAGUCUGGACCCACAGGAGUAGUGACACUUCCCCCACUGCAAGAACGCCACUCAGAUUUGAAAAUUCUGGGGGCUCAGGGACCCCUGAAGUCCAUUCUUGAGCCUUUCCACUAGCCGUGUCCUCCCUUGGGCAGGGGAAAGGGGGCCAGAGGGGAGCUUCCCCACAGCCCUCUCUGCAGAGGCUGCGGGGCACAUGCUGGCUCCUUGCUGGGUGCUGUCAGCAGAGGUGCCGGGAGACAGCAGGCCAGGAAACCCUCUGCCCCCAGCCUAAGUCAGUCCCAUGAGUUAUACCAGCCAGGCCCCACAGCAGACUAGACGGAAAAGACCUUGGGAGAAUGAGGUAAAAGGUCUGAGGUGCUGGGAAAAGCCAGGAAGAGAGCAGAGAGGCCUUCGCUUAGGCAGGUGCCAACCCCAGAGGCGCAGGCCUUGGGGCACAGCUCAGGGCAGGGCUGGGGUGUGGGUGCCCCCUGCUUGUGCCAAGGCCAGGACUUCAGCCCUCUCUUCUGGGUGUCCCCCAUGUCUGGGCUGUGCCACAGCACAGUUCAUGGGUGCCCAGGAAGGGGAGAGGAAGCCCCACCCUCAGGCCCUGCAGCCCUCACUGCCCCUAGCCCUGCUGCAGGGUCGGGCCUCCCUUCUGUCAUGCCACCUGCCACUCACCCCUCUCUCGGGAAAACCCACUGUAAUUCCCUUCCAAGGCUGACCAUCUGGUGGCUUCAGCCCCAUUCCAGCUCCCCUUUCCCCCUGGGAUCAUUAGACACCAAGCCCUGCCGAGGAGGCUGGCUACAUGGGAGUGGAACAUGGCAACCACAGAAAGAGGGAAGAGCCUCUUCUGGAGGGAAAAGAAAGACCACCAGCAGGAAAUGAAGUGGGCAGGGGAACGGCAGGGGCUUUCCCGGGCUUCCCUCCUACCUCACCUGUGCACCCCAGGCCUUCACCCCAGCACUGCUGACCUUCGGGUCUGGUUCCAGCUCUGGUAGGGGCCACCCUGGGGAUUGUGGGGUGUUCAGCAGCUUCCCCAAGCUAGAUGCUAGGAGCCACCACCACCAGCGCCAAAAAAAGAUAGAUGCCUUUGCUACAUGGCUGGUUGCUC